GGAAAUUGCCUUUUCGGGAGGUGAGAGCCCAAAAACGCCGGAAUUUACCCCAAAAAUAAUCCCCCAAAAUAACUGCAAAAAUACCCGCCAAAAAACGACCAAAAUAACCCCAAAAUCCCCCCCAAAAUCCCCCCAUGGUGAUGCUGGGGCUGGCACUGACCGGGAGGUUUCCAUUGUGCAAGGCGAGACCCCAAAACGGCCCAAAUUAACCCCAAAAUUAACCCCAAAAAAAUGUGACCAAAAUAACCCCAAAACCCCCCCGGUGCCACCAUCCCCAGGUGUCGCUGUCACCUGUGCCCAGCUGUGCCAGGUGUGUCACCUGUCUGUCCCAGGUGUAGCUGCCCUGUCCCAGGUGUGUCCCUGACCCCUGUUGUGUUGUGUUACCUGUCCCAGGUGUGUCACCUGUCUGUCCCACCUGUCCCAGGUGUGUCACCUGUCUGUCCCACCUGUCCCACCUGUCCCACCUGUCCCAGGUGUGUCACUUUUCUGUCCCACCUGUCCCAGGUGUGUCACCUGCCCUGUCCCACCUGUGUCACCUGUCUGUCCCACCUGUCCCAGGUAUACCUGCCCUGUCCCAGGUGUGUCACUGUCCCACCUGUGCCCACCUGUCCCAGGUGUGUCACCUGUCUGUCCCACCUGUCCCCACCUGUCUGUCCCACCUGUCCCAGGUGUGUCCCUGACCCCUGUUGUGUUGUGUUACCUGUCCCAGGUGUGUCACUGUCCCACCUGUCACUUGUCCCAGGUGUCCCACCUGUCUGUCCCACCUGUCCAGGUGUACCUGUCCUGUCCCAGGUGUGUCACUGUCCCACCUGUCCAGGUGUACCUGCCCUGUCCCAGGUGUGUCACUGUCCCACCUGUCACCUGUCCCAGGUGUCCCACCUGUCUGUCCCACCUGUCCAGGUGUACCUGUCCUGUCCCACCUGUCUCACCUGUCCCACCUGUCCAGGUGUACCUGCCCUGUCCCAGGUGUGUCACUGUCCCACCUGUCACCUGUCCCAGGUGUGUCACUGUCCCACCUGUCACCUGUCCCAGGUGUGUCACUUUUCUGUCCCACCUGUCCCACCUGUCCCAGGUGUACCUGCCCUGUCCCAGGUGUGUCAGUU
rnacentral:lncRNA from 1 species